UCCUCGGGACCCUGCUGCGG
rnacentral:miRNA from 1 species